ACGGCCGUACCAUGCUGAAUAUACCGGUUCUCGUUAGAUCACCGAAGUCAAGCAUCAUUGGGCGCGGUCAGUACUUGGGUGGGUGACCACCUGGGAACACCGCGUGC
rnacentral:rRNA from 1 species